AGCAUAUCAAUAAGCGGAGGAAAAGAAACUAACAAGGAUUCCCCUAGUAACGGCGAGUGAAGCGNGAAGAGCUCAAAUUUAAAAUCUGGCGGUGUAUUCCGUCCGAGUUGUAGUCUAGAGAAGCAUCAUCCGUGCUGGACCAUGUACAAGUCUCUUGGAACAGAGCGUCAUAGAGGGUGAGAAUCCCGUCCUUGACAUGGACUCCCAGUACUUUGUGUUGUGCUCUCAACGAGUCGAGUUGUUUGGGAAUGCAGCUCAAAAUGGGUGGUAAAUUCCAUCUAAAGCUAAAUAUUGGCGAGAGACCGAUAGCGAACAAGUACCGUGAGGGAAAGAUGAAAAGCACUUUGGAGAGAGAGUUAAACAGUACGUGAAAUUGUUGAAAUGGAAAGCGUUGAAGUCAGUCGCGUUCUCUGGGAUUCAGCCUUGCUUCUGCUUGGUGCAUUUCCUAGUUUACGGGCCAACAUGAAUUUUGACCAGUGGAAAAGGAUUUGGGGAAUGUGGCACCUCCGGGUGUGUUAUAGCCCCUUGUCGCAUAACAUUGGUUGGGAUUGAGGUUUCAGUGCACGCUUCUGUUGUGCUUUGAUGUUGGCGUAAUGGCUUUAAACGACCCGUCUUGAAACACGGACCAAGGAGUCUAACAUGUCUGCGAGUGUUUGGGUGAAAAACCCAUGUCGCGUAAUGAAAGUGAUAGUUGGGAACCUUUCACGAGGGGCACCGACGCCCGGACCAGACCUUCUGUGACGGAUCCGAGGUAGAGCAUAUAUGUUGGGACCCGAAAGAUGGUGAACUAUGCUGCAUAGGGUGAAGCCAGAGGAAACUCUGGUGGAGGCUCGUAGCGAUUCUGACGUGCAANUCGAUCGUCAAAUGUGGGUAUAGGGGCNAAAGACUAAUCNNNCCAU
rnacentral:rRNA from 1 species